rnacentral:lncRNA from 1 species
GCCUUUCACUUUCAUCAAUGAUUUAAAAAAAAAUCAUAUUUUAAAUGUUUUAUGUAUAUCGUAGCCAGUGCCCCUUUAAUUGAACCAAAGUUAAUAUGGUGAAUUCUGUUUUUAAAAAAAUUACAAGAAAUGCCAUCUUGGUCGGGAUCCUUAGGAUUAUUAACCUCAACUGUUUUGAUUACUUUCAUUUUGUCCUCGACUGAACAUAGGGAUAUUACUCAGAUACCUGGAAAUUUCUUUCCAAAAUGGUGAUUUAUACAUGUCUUAAAAGGAG